rnacentral:rRNA from 1 species
CCUACGGGAGGCAGCAGUGAGGAAUAUUGGUCAAUGGGCGGGAGCCUGAACCAGCCAAGUCGCGUGAGGGAAGACGGUCCUAUGGAUUGUAAACCUCUUUAGGCGGGGAGCAAUGCCGGGCACGCGUGCCCGGAGGGAGAGUACCAGCAGAAUAAGCAUCGGCCAACUCCGUGCCAGCAGCCGCGGUAAUACGGUGGAUGCGAGCGUUAUCCGGAUUUAUUGGGGUUAAAGGGAGCGUGGGCGGAUUUUUAAGUCAGCGGUAAAAUGUCCGGGCUCAACCCGGGCCGGCCGUUGAAACUGGUGAUCUUGAGUGGGCGAGAAGUAUGCGGAAUUCGUGGUGUAGCGGUGAAAUGCAUAGAGAUCACGCAGAACUCCGAUUGCGAAGGCAGCAUACCGGCGCCCGACUGACGCUGAAGCACGAAAGCGUGGGUAUCGAACAGGAUUAGAUACCCCAGUAGUC